GGAAAACUUUAAACGCUCUCCUUUUCUGUAGAGCAUAGGAGACGUGGUGGGAAACUCAAUCAGUUCUGUCAAGAUAUUUUAAACUGAGCUUUCUGAUCUUGUCAUACAUCAAAAAUUACUCAAAAGUGCUAAUGUGACACAUUGGCUUUGAACGACUGGGCAAGAAAGGAAGAACAGCAGUGGUGGAAAAGGGAUGCUACCCCUUUAAGAAGAGGCGCUGAGGCAGUGUCCUUCACAACUCUUACUGGAGCCGUGGCUUCUCCAUGAUAUUGUCAAGUUGUCAUGACGACAGGGAUGUUCCGCUGAAGUCUCGCGCCUGGCUGUCCAAUCGGAUGACGGGGGGCUCAAACUGCAAUACGAACGUGAAGGGACACACCUUUCCCAGUAACACAAUGCCAAGGACGACGUCCUGGUCCAAGACCACCUAUGGAACGUCGUCCGCUACAGGACCGAGGCAGCAAACGGGCUGCAGUGAUCAGAUUCCGAACGGAACCGCCAUGGAGGAGGAGGUGAGACAGGGCCAGCCCAUCAGGGGACCUGACCAUCAGUCAUGGAGCUCUGGAGCUGAAGUUUUCAGCCACAUGAACAGAUGGAGAUGAUAGUACUGAGAAUGGUGAUGUAACCAUCCGAGUCCCUUUUCGCCUGAAGGACCGGCAUGUCUAAAGGCCUUGAUGUUUUUCCAAUAAUUGGCAGCCGAGGUCGAUUCCCCACCACCACCACCACAC